UUUUUAUUUACUUAUUAGUUAUUUAAGGCUGGGUAAUUCAUAAAGUGAAGAGGUUUAUGUGGCUCACAGUUCUGCAGACUGUACAAGAAGCAUGACAGUAUCUGUUUGGCUUCUGGUCAGGGCCUUUUGCUGCUUUCAUUCAUGGCCUAAGUCCAAGGAGAGCCACCAUGCAGAGAUCACAUAGGAAGAGCCAUGCAAGAGAGAGGGGAAGUGCCAGGCUCUUUCUUUCCUUCUUUCCUUCCUUCUUU
rnacentral:lncRNA from 10 species